GUGGAUUUAAUUUCUACAUGGCCCUUCUGCCCGCUUGUGGGGAGCACUCUGCAACCCCAGUGGACCUGUUCUCACACCAAACUGGUGUGUAGAGGGACUGCAGCAGGAUUUACAUAAGGCCUCAAAAGCAAAGAACUAAAGCUUUGUCCAGUGCUAGCAGAAGCCAAAGGGGCUGUCAGUUUGAGAGGCAGUGGUAGGAAGUUCCAUAGAACCAGUCCCCUGUUUGUUCAAGUCCACCAUGGUUCUGGGUCACAGAGUGGAAAGAAAAUGGGUUCCCUGUUUUAUGGUGCAAGUAAAGCCCUCAGAGUUUACCCGUACUUGCACCUCAUGGGGUUUAGGGCUGUAUGAGUACAGUGAAGUGAUUCUACAGCCAAAAAUUGAAUGCAGGGGGCUGGACUGAACCCCACCUACAAGAGAGGUGCCUGACUCUGAUCCAGACUUAGCGUUGGCUUGCUUUGCUCAUUUGGACCAAGCACCGUGUCUAGGAAGAAAGGCAGAGAGAUUCUCUCCAGUUCUUGCCCUCGCUGCUGCAGAUGAUGACUGGCAGUGCUUGCAGCAGCAUCUCUCUUCAAGCCCCGAAGAGUGAGUCUCAGCCAGGCUCCAGGCUCGUGCUCGUGGCUGCCAUCAGACAGCCCAUCUGGAAAGAGGCUGCACAUCCAGUGCAAGUCUGGGAUAGCAACCCUUUCCUGCUAACUUUAACAAGGUUGAAACUGCAUAGCCAGAGGAGUACGGUCCCUUCGGGUAUUCAGCUUUCAGAAAGACCAAGGUAAGAGAUUUUCCAGAUUUUUUUUUUCUUUUUUCCAUUUUGAAUUCUUGAUAAAAUGCUGUCUGUUCCAGUCUUUGCUCAGAGCUCAUUUCAAGUCAAUAUAAAGAUUCUUGUUGAUUUUAAUGAGCAGUGCCUUGAAC
ensembl:lncRNA